UACGUAGGGUGCAAGCGUUAAUCGGAAUUACUGGGCGUAAGCGCACGUAGGCGGUUUUUUAAGUCAGAUGUGAAAGCCCCGGGCUCAACCUGGGAAUUGCAUUUGAAACUGGGGAACUAGAGUGUGUGAGAGGGGGGUAGAAUUCCAAGUGUAGCGGUGAAAUGCGUAGAGAUUUGGAGGAAUACCAGUGGCGAAGGCGGCCCCCUGGCACAACACUGACGCUCAGGUGCGAAAGCGUUGGGAGCAAACAGG
rnacentral:rRNA from 1 species